GACGAACGCUGGCGGUGUGCUUAACACAUGCAAGUCGAACGGUAAGGCCCUUUCGGGGGUACACGAGUGGCGAACGGGUGAGUAACACGUGAGUAACCUGCCCUCAUCUCUGGGAUAACAGUCGGAAACGGUUGCUAAUACUGGAUAUGAGCUUGCAAGGCAUCUUGUGGGUUGGAAAGAUUUUUUUUGGUUGGGGAUGGGCUCGCGGCCUAUCAGCUUGUUGGUGAGGUAGUGGCUCACCAAGGCUUCGACGGGUAGCCGGCCUGAGAGGGCGACCGGCCACAUUGGGACUGAGAUACGGCCCAAACUCCUACGGGAGGCAGCAGUGGGGAAUAUUGCACAAUGGACGGAAGUCUGAUGCAGCAACGCCGCGUGCGGGAUGACGGCCUUCGGGUUGUAAACCGCUUUCAAUUGUGACGAAGCUUUUUUGUGACGGUAGCAGUAGAAGAAGCACCGGCUAACUACGUG
rnacentral:rRNA from 1 species